rnacentral:rRNA from 1 species
UCCAGACUCCUACGGGAGGCAGCAGUGAGGAAUAUUGGUCAAUGGGCUUACGCCUGAACCAACCAAGUCGCGUGAGGGAAGACUGCCCUAUGGGUUGUAAACCUCUUUUGUCAGGGAGCAACGCCGGCUACGUGUAGACGGACUGAGAGUACCUGAAGAAAAAGCAUCGGCUAACUCCGUGCCAGCAGCCGCGGUAAUACGGAGGAUGCGAGCGUUAUCCGGAUUUAUUGGGUUUAAAGGGUGCGUAGGCGGAAUGCCAAGUCAGCGGUAAAAUCGCGGGGCUCAACCUCGCUCCGCCGUUGAAACUGGCGUUCUUGAGUGGGCGAGAAGUAUGCGGAAUGCGUGGUGUAGCGGUGAAAUGCAUAGAUAUCACGCAGAACUCCGAUUGCGAAGGCAGCAUACCGGCGCCCAACUGACGCUGAAGCACGAAGGCGUGGGUAUCGAACAGGAUUAGAUACCCCCGUA